rnacentral:rRNA from 1 species
GACGAACGCUGGCGGCGUGCUUAACACAUGCCAGUCGAACGGGCCCGCUCUCUUUUUUGGGGGUGGGUUGAGUGGCGAACGGGUGAGUAUCACGUGAGUAACCUGCCCCCUGCUCCUGGAUAACUGCUUGAAAGGGCGGCUAAUACGGGGUGUGCCGGCUGGUCCGCAUGGGCCUGGUCGGGAUAGUUUCAUCUUCGGGUGUUUCGGUGGGGGAUGGGCUCGCGGCCUAUCAGCUUGUUGGUGGGGUGAUGGCCCACCAAGGCGGUGACGGGUAGCCGGCCUGAGAGGGUGGGCGGCCACACUGGGACUGAGACACGGCCCAGACUCCUGCGGGAGGCAGCAGUGGGGGGUAUUGCACAAUGGGCGGAAGCCUGAUGCAGCGACGUCGCGUGAGGGAUGGAGGCCUUCGGGUGGUGAACCUCUUUCUCCGGUGGUGAAGGCCCUGUCCGUUGCGGCGGGGUUGACGGUAGCCGGGGAUGAAGCGCCGGCUAACUACGUG